GAUAAUCAGCAUUGUAUAUCUUUUAAUGAUACUGUGCAUUGAACAUGUCAGUGUCUCUAGCGCUGGAGCAACAACCUUUUCUACUACAAGGAGAAGACCUAGAAGCUCUAGGAAAGUGAAGCCUGAAGUCUGAUUUAAGGCAGCUGCAGCUUUGAGAAGAAGCUCAUAUGCUUCCUGCUCUUAAACUAACAAAGUAACUGCCUAGCCCUCAAAACCACCAGAGAUCUGAGAAGCCCACAAAAUUGGAUGGAUCAUCUGACAUAGGGCAGACAUUUUCCAUCUCCAGAUCCAGCUUUUCAACACAGUAGAACAGCAUAAAACAAGAUUUCAACAUUGCCCAUACCCAAAAGACAUUUGAAUCCCUGGUCAACUGAAUCCAGAAAGCUUAGAGAUAAGGAAUUCGGAGCCCUCGAUCUAAAAGUAGCCACAGCAAGUGGAAGCAGUGGAUUUGGGAGAAGGGAGGUGUGAUGGUUUGUAUAUGCUUGGUUCAGGAAGUGGCACUAUUAGAAGGUGUGGCCCUGUUGGAGUCAGUGUGCCAAUGUGGGCGUGGGCUUUAAGACCCUCAUCCUAGCUGCCUGCAAGUGAGUCUUCCGCUAGCAGUCUUCAGAUGAAGAUGGAGAACUCUCAGCUCUGCCUGCACCAUGCCUGCCUGGAUGCUGCUAUGCUUCCUGCUUUGAUGAUGAUGGACUGAACCUCUGAACCU